UUAAAUAUGAAUGAAACAUGUCUUAAAUAUGUACUAAACAUGACUUAUUGUGUCAAACUACUUGUGGCUAAGCACCUAAUGCUAUGCUAAUAGUGAAUUGGUGCUUUGUCUAUAUUCACUGAUUAGGUGAACUUUUCAUUAUGGUUUGACCAAAACGCCAAACUGCUUAUUCUCAGCCUUUUGCAUGUGGACUGGAAGAUAGCUGGUAUAUCAUGUAAGAGAGAGCAUUUGCCAUGUUUCCUUUCAUUUUAGUUCUGGAUUUUCUCUGAAUUAGCUUGAGUAUAAUGGCACAUGGGAAUUACAAACUUAAACAUAGUUAAAAAAAAGAAUAUAUGGGACCUAAGUUAAUAUUUCUCUAAAUAUUGGAAGUACUUGUAUUGAACUUUAUUAAGUCAAAUGUUCUCUUGGAGAUGUGUCUAGAAUAUAACACUGAUGUGAUCUGCCAAAAAUGCUGCAAAAUUUGAGAAACUGCAGAUUUGAGAAACCAAGUUCAAAUUGGUAUUUACUUUUUCUUAAAUUACACACACACACACACAC